CAGCCGCCGCGGUAAAACGUAGGGUGCGAGCGUUAAUCGGAGUUACUGGGCGUAAAGCGUGCGCAGGCGGCUUUGCAAGACAGAUGUGAAAUCCCCGGGCUCAACCUGGGAACUGCAUUUGUGACUGCAAGGCUAGAGUACGGUAGAGGGGGAUGGAAUUCCGCGUGUAGCAGUGAAAUGCGUAGAUAUGCGGAGGAACACCAAUGGCGAAGGCAAUCCCCUGGACCUGUACUGACGCUCAUGCACGAAAGCGUGGGGAGCAAACAGGAUUAGAUACCCGUGUAGUCCCUGUCUCUUAUAU
rnacentral:rRNA from 1 species